rnacentral:rRNA from 1 species
UUCGCAAUGCCCGAAAGGGUGACGAAGCGACGCCGCGUGCGGGAAGAAGGCCUUCGGGUUGUAAACCGCUGUCGGGAGUUAAGAAAUGCAGAGAUGUUAAUAGCGUCUUUGCUUGACUAAGGCUCCGGAGGAAGCCACGGCUAACUCUGUGCCAGCAGCCGCGGUAAUACAGAGGCGGCAAGCGUUGUUCGGAAUUAUUGGGCGUAAAGAGCACGUAGGCGGCUAUGUAAGUCGGUUGUGAAAGCCUUCCGCUCAACGGGAGAACAGCAUCCGAUACUGCAUGGCUUGAGUGUGGGAGGGGAGAGUGGAACUUCUGGUGGAGCGGUGAAAUGCGUAGAUAUCAGAAGGAACGCCGGCGGCGAAAGCGGCUCUCUGGCCCAUAACUGACGCUGAGUGUGCGAAAGCUAGGGGAGCAAACGGGAUUAGAUACCCCGGUAGUCCUAGCCGUAAACGAUGGGCACUAAGUAGAGGGGUUUU